rnacentral:rRNA from 1 species
CCUGGCUCAGGACGAACGCUGGCGGCGUGCCUAAUACAUGCAAGUCGAGCGGACCGAAUGGAAGCUUGCUUUCAUUCGGUUAGCGGCGGACGGGUGAGUAACACGUGGGUAACCUGCCCGUAAGACCGGGAUAACUCCGGGAAAC